rnacentral:misc_RNA from 1 species
UUUCCGUAGGUGAACCUGCGGAAGGAUCAUUAUUGUAUAACCGAGGUGCGAGGGCUGUCGCUGACCCGAAAGGUCGUGCACGCCCGAGUGCCCUCACACACAUCCAUCUCACCCCUAUGUGCACCACCGCGUGGGUCCCCCUUUGGCUUGUUCGGAGGGGGGCUUACGCUUUCACACAAACUUUGUAUGCAGUGUAGAAUGUAUUUUUUGUUUUUGCGAUCACGCAAUCAAUACAACUUUCAACAACGGAUCUCUUGGCUCUCGCACCGAUGAAGAACGCAGC